UUUUGUUCUGGCCCAAAUUCACGAAAGAAACCACGGCCACAGUUCUUUUUCCGCUUUGUUCAUACACCACCACCUCCACCACCAGGAUCAGUAGUCAUAUCAUCUAUAUCAUUCGUAUUCAAUUGAACUUGAGGAGAUUCAGUAGUCAUAUCAUACCUUCAUCUAUAUUAUUCGUAUUCAAUUGAACUUGAAGAGAUUUGAAGGGGUUUUUAUAUAGGUCUGCCAAGGGUAUUUGAAAUCCAGGGUUUCGUACCAACUGAGGCACAAAGGUAGAUCUAAUCAGUAACCGUGAACUUGGGAAAUUGAGACGAACCGAGACACACAGAACGAGUUCUGCAGGCGCCUGACCAUUGUUGCAUAAUUGUCCCCAAAUAGGAACCAGCGAUUUACAAAUCUCAUUAACCACAGGAUUACUCACCUUGAGGGAACUGACGUCCCUAAUUGAUUACUUCUGGCCCCAUCCAUGGGAGUGCAAACCGCAGUAGUAAGUAUCAUGUGAUACAUUAACUAUUUUUAUAAAAAUUGCAAUGUGCCCGUAUAACUGCAUGGCUACAGAUGACAAUUUAAAGAAAAUGGUGAUGGUGAUGCUAAGUAGGGUUUGUACCUUGUUAUUUCGUAACCACGCAAGAGCUUGAUAUAGUUUUCAACUGUACAACCAAACCAAGGAGCCAUUCAUGGGAUCACAUGGUCUUGGCUGGGAACACUGUGGGUCCUUCUUCAUAACUGCCAGUCCAAUUUGUAGAAUUCAAGAACUUGAGUGCAAAUAUCCAGCUGAGAAUGACUUUGCCGAAAUAAUCUUCUCAAGAGAACCUGCAAAUAUUGAUUUCCGACUCGAGCAGGUAGUUAAAACACCCAAGAAAAGUUCCCUACAUUGAUAUUUUUAAAAUAAUCGACUACAAUUGACAAUGGGAACAAAACGAAAUCGAUCAAUGGCAGUUACAUUUGGGUUAGUAGCCCUUGUACAUAGACUUGAACUUAUAUUCCAUCUGUGGGAGUCGAACCCACACCUACAUGGCUGAAGGCCAUGUGCUCUUCCAGUUGAGCUAAGAUAGUAAGCAAAAAAAAAAUGUCUACUAUAAGCAUAAACUUUUGUAUAUACAGUAGAACGUGAACAUUUCAAAAUCCAAAUUAGACUUCGCAUGUUUAGCUGAUUAAAAUGGAGUUCCGUA